rnacentral:rRNA from 1 species
AGUGAACGCUGGCGGUAGGCCUAACACAUGCAAGUCGAACGGCAGCACAGUAAGAGCUUGCUCUUACGGGUGGCGAGUGGCGGACGGGUGAGGCAUACAUCGGAAUCUACUUUUUCGUGGGGGAUAACGUAGGGAAGCUUACGCUACUACCGCAUACGACCUACGGGUGAAAGCAGGGGAUCUUCGGACCUUGCGCGAUUGAAUGAGCCGAUGUCGGAUUAGCUAGUUGGCGGGGUAAAGGCCCACCAAGGCGACGAUCCGUAGCUGGUCUGAGAGGAUGAUCAGCCACACUGGAACUGAGACACGGUCCAGACUCCUACGGGAGGCAGCAGUGGGGAAUAUUGGGCAAUGGGCGCAAGCCUGAUCCAGCCAUGCCGCGUGGGUGAAGAAGGCCUUCGGGUUGUAAAGCCCUUUUGUUGGGAAAGAAAAGCAGCAGGUUAAUACCCCGCUGUUCUGACGGUACCCAAAGAAUAAGCACCGGCUAACUUCGUG